rnacentral:rRNA from 1 species
AUUGUAACCUUGGUGGUUGGCUCUUGUCUAUGUUUCUUGGAACAGGACGUCACAGAGGGUGAGAAUCCCGUGCGAUGAGAUGCCCAAUCCUAUGUAAGGUGCUUUCGAAGAGUCGAGUUGUUUGGGAAUGCAGCUCUAAGUGGGUGGUAAAUUCCAUCUAAAGCUAAAUAUUGGCGAGAGACCGAUAGCGAACAAGUACAGUGAUGGAAAGAUGAAAAGAACUUUGAAAAGAGAGUGAAAAAGUACGUGAAAUUGUUGAAAGGGAAGGGUUUGAGAUCAGACUCGAUAUUUUGUGAGCCUUGCCUUCGUGGCGGGGUGACCCGCAGCUUAUCGGGCCAGCAUCGGUUUGGGCGGUAGGAUAAUGGCGUAGGAAUGUGACUUUGCUUCGGUGAAGUGUUAUAGCCUGCGUUGAUGCUGCCUGCCUAGACCGAGGACUGCGAUUUUAUCAAGGAUGCUGGCAUAAUGAUCCCAAACCGC